rnacentral:rRNA from 1 species
UACGUAGGCAGCGAGCGUUGUUCGGAAUUACUGGGCGUAAAGAGUGUGUAGGCGGUGUUCCAAGUCUGGUGUGAAAUCUCCCGGCUUAACUGGGAGGGUGCGCCGGAAACUGGAAUGCUCGAGGGUGGGAGAGGUAAGCGGAAUUCCUGGUGUAGCGGUGAAAUGCGUAGAUAUCAGGAGGAACACCGGUGGCGAAGGCGGCUUUCUGGACAGUUACCGACGCUGAGGCACGAAAGCUAGGGGAGCAAACAGG